rfam:Ophiophagus hannah scaffold5051.1, whole genome shotgun sequence.
UGCCGGCCUGUGCCCUUUUUCUGUUGUACUACUGGGAGCUCUCAUUAGCAGUGCAAUAUUAAAAGGGCAUUGGCUGGCA